ACUAUUUCUGCCUCUUUCAAGAUUACUUUAACAUCAACAUGGAAGGAAGUGAAAAAAAUAAUUAAAGAAGAUCCCAGAUGCAUUAAGUUUUCUUCCAGUGAUAGGAAAAAGCAAAGGGAGUUUGAAGAGUACAUCAGAGACAAAUAUAUUACUGCCAAAGCUGACUUCAGAACGCUAUUGAAAGAGACCAAAUUUAUAACAUACAGGU